UACGGAGUAUGCAAGCGUUAUCCGGAUUCAUUGGGUUUAAAGGGUGCGUAGGCGGACUAUUAAGUCAGUGGUGAAAGCCUGCAGCUUAACUGCAGAACUGCCAUUGAUACUGAUAGUCUUGAGUUUGGUUAAGGUAGGCGGAAUGUGUAAUGUAGCGGUGAAAUGCUUAGAUAUUACACAGAACACCGAUUGCGAAGGCAGCUUGCUGGGUCAUUACUGACGCUGAUGCACGAAAGCGUGGGGAUCAAACA
rnacentral:rRNA from 1 species